GUUCAGAGUAUUUCACUCCUAAGAAAAUCUGCUGCUCAGGUAAGUGUCCAGGUUCGACCAAAGACUGUUUUAAACUGGUUGACUUGGAAAUCUGGGAGCACAAGAUGUGUGUCCAUAUAGUCUAUAUAUUGUUUGUGAUCAUCUUCCUUAAAAUCGGUAUUUCAUACAUACUCCUAGGCGGUUUCUUUUGUUUGGCACUCUAAUUUUACAGCUUCUCUGUUGUGUACUUUCCUGUUACUUCUGCAACAAUUAUAUAUAUUCUGGAGUGUUGCUCAUUGGUGGAUUGGGUUAAUUUAUAGCUAAAAGCUGCAAAUUUUGCAGCUAUUUUUUUAUAUUUGUGGCAUUUCCUUUUCUUUAUAGUCAGCCAGUUAGCACGAAUUUCUUUGGGUCAUCUUGGUGAAAGUAUUACUUUGUUCCCCGAUGUUAUCUGAUGUCAUGUUCUCCUAAGUGGUAUUCUUUGUUUGUCCUGACCAUAUAUACAUAUCUGGGUUACAAACUGUGAUAUGGCUUUGUUUUGUUGCAAUAGGAGAAGACUGCAUUUAACUCACCGUCUGGUUUAUGCAUCAUGUCUCUCCGUACAUUUAUCCUUUGCCUCCUUACUGAUCCUUUUAUUUUCUUUGUUGUACAUGAGCAUACCAUUGUCUCCGCACCGGGGCCAUUAGCUUCACUUCCUUGAAGUGCAGAUGUGAUUGGCAUCAUCUGUGUUCGCUGUCCCAGGAAGAACUGUUUGUAUAGCAAGGAGGGAUGUGUUCCUUCCUGACCCAAGGUGGACUACUAAUUCUUAUCAUAUGCUUCCUUUUUAUAUAUAUUUAUUACCUGGUUAUUGAUUUGUCUCCUGCCCUUCGUGUUGCACAUGGUGGGCACAAAAUUAGAAGGAAAUACACUGGUUAUAGCUACCGCUGGCCUACAAUUUCUUAAUCUGAAUAUGUGACACACUUGCUUCGCUAUAGUCCCGAUACAUACAGUUUUUGUAUCCAGACUCGUGUUAUCUACGUCAUUUUCCAUUGAAGUGCUUUUUGGUUUUGAGUAUUCUGUACUAGAAAGCAUGGUCCCAGUUUAGUUUAGGUUUCUACUUUUUCGAAGUAAUUUAACCCAGUGAUUUCAGUACCAUCUAUUUCUUGCUUUCCUUAUCACAUAAUUACCAAUCCAUUUAUUUCUUUUGGUUCCGAGUGUUUUUUCUCCAUUUUGUUUGAGGAUGUAACCCCUAGCUAAGUAAAACUAUCAGUGACCGGCUAAUGUAUGGACUACUAAAAAAUGAGAAUUCUUUGUUGAUGCCUCUAAUAAUUUGGUAGAUCUAUACAUCUCUCACUACUAGUACGAUUUUAGAAUGUCGCAUCCGGAAACCCCACUGCUUACACCUCUCUGUAAUCUGUAGUAACUUACAACUAUUUUAGUCCCAUUAUAGCCCAUGCUACUGGUUUUGAGUUCUCGAGUGCUACUGCUCUCGGCACAUAUUAUUCUUUGUGAGAUAGAGUUAUUUUACAAACUAGCCACUUAAUUCGCUGACAAUUUUACUGUCAAACCAAACUGUUGUGAAUGCAUGCUUGUCUCAUACUCAACUAACUCCGUAUUCAAAAAAAAAAAAAAAAAUUCAGCUGCAAAUGACAUGUACUGAAACCAAACAGAAGUUAAUAAUUAUGUUCUCCAUUGCUGAGGUCGAUUCAUAACCUGCUAUUUCAGAAACUUUAAGCUUGGAUGCUCCUCUUCUGUUUCAGGAUUUGUAAACUUAUCUAGGUUAUAAUCACUCAUUUCUAGCAUGCUGAAAAGGAGAGAAAAGGUGAUCAAGAUGUUCCCGAUCAAAUGAAAGUAAUUUCAAUUUCUCAUAGAUCAUUUCUUUCAUCUGUUUUUUCUUACCCUGUACUAGGCUACAUUUAAAAUGGGUUCAUAUGAAAAUGCUACCGUGGUUUCUACACCUUCCAUUCUGAUAUGUUAUUGUGAAAAAAGGCCUUGCCAGUGCUGAUUUGUAGAUUUGCUUUGCUACGCCGAAGGUGCAGUACCCUCAGGCCUCAAGCUGAGUUUACCCUUCUGGAAAAUACGGCAACAUGUCAUUUUGUUCGAUGCCUAUUCUUGCUUGCUGGUGGUGAUAUGACGAGUGUCUUCUUUUUCGUUGGCUGUCAAUUUUAUCAAAUACUCUUAUACAAUUUUAAUUUUUAGUAGUUUUCGACACUCGAAAGUCUGGUGAAAAAAGGCCUUGCUAGUGCUUAUUUGUAGGUUUGCUUCGCUACGUCGAAGGUGCAGUUCCCUCAGGCCUCAAGCUGAGUUUACCCUUCUGUCAAAUACGGCAACAUGUCAUUUUGUUCGAUGUCUAUUCUUGCUUGCUGGUGGUUAUAUGACGAGUGUCUUCUUUUUCGUUGGCGGUUAAUUUUAUCAAAUACUCUUAUACAAUUUUAUUUUAUAGUAGUUUUGGGCACUCGAAAGUCUGGUUGCCUAACCACGUGCUAUUCCUUUUGGUGUUUGGCCCUCCCAAGGAGGUUAUGUUGCUCAUACUGGAUUUUCUUUUAUAACUUGGUCUAUGUAACCUAUCUUAGAGUAUAUAAAGCCUGGGCCAUGAGUCCUUCCGUUUAAAAGGGAUAUAAAUAGUUCUAAAAAAAAGGGAUGUAAACCAUCCAGCCAAACGUCAUUCCACAAGGAACAAUCACCUAGAUUUUAUGUGCAUGUUAUAACUCCUUUGUAAAUAUUAAACAUGGCUAAUUAAUUGACGCGGUUAGCUGAGUUCCUGUUAGGAUGUUGAAGUAUCCAAAUAUGUUCAAGUUUGUUCAAAAAAAAAAUCUGGCUGGGUGAGUGCAAGUUUGUUUGGCUUCAGAGUCACAGAGUAAUGCAGAAUGUGUCCUUGCGUAAUUUUCAUAUGUUAUGUGACAUCUGCGUUGUUUCCUUACGGGUGGAGCCUCAGCCUCAUUUCGUCCAAACCAAGUUAUAAAAUACUCCAGCAAUAAUGCCCUUUAGUUGUCACUUACAAAAGAUGAAAAGAGCUCAGUUCAACAACCUAUUUUUGUAACUGAUUCAUACUGCUGACUGAACUUAAUAAAGCUUACAAAUGAAUAGAAGGAUAGAUCACAACAGACGAAAAUCUAUAAAGUGGCUAAGUUGCAACUUAUGUAUAAAAGCAAAAUUGCUAUGUUUUCCUGAAUUUUCUUAGUCGGAUUUCCGUUGCAGUGAGCAAGAAAAGAACGUCUGCAACGAGGCGGAUCAUAUUGAGUGGUGUAAGAUCGAUGAUUGUAUGAGAAAUCCUCUGGCUGGCUUCUGAAGAAACUGAUGUCAUAUUCACAUGUUAGAACAUGGAUAGGUACUUCUGGAUUGUCCCUAAAUCCCGGGCAGAGGCAUACCAAAGAAUUUCUUCUAAUUGGUUAUCAUUUUUACACUCACCUGCAUGGUUAAAAUUCAGGUUGAGCUGGUUAAGCCUCCAAAAUAUGCAGUCGCGGGGGAGAAGCUGACCUUUGCUGGGUACUCGGGAUGAGCGUCGGAAGAUGAUGAGGAAGCAAUCCUAGACAAAAAAAAACCAUGUUGCACUAGGCAGGUGAUUGCCGUGUUACAAACAGAAUCUAAGUUUGCUUGCCACUAUGAACACCGGAACUCACUCUGUUAGGCUCUUUGACCGUGCAAUGGUGCUUCUUUGGAAACUCCAUAUUAGCAAUAUCACUGGCAUCUUAUCUGAUUGCUGUAA